UUUUUUAAAUGUAACAAAACUAACAGAAGAUGUUUGCUAUAAUGCAAGAAUUCUGUUCCAAAUACCUUGAAUAAGACUUACACAUAGUGCUAGUAACAAAGAAGUUCUACAGACCCAAAGAAAUUAAGAAAGAUCCAACAAAAAAAUGAUGCGGCCCAUUCUUGCCAUACAACUGAUUGCACACCAUCAGCAGGCUCUAGAUAUUACAGAUAUGAAAUGGAGCUUUCACAAAACUCAGCUCCAGCUGAGUUAAACAGAGGGAAGUUUACCAUUUUAACCUCUGAGUAAUACCUCUGAACAAAGUAAAAGCACGAUCUGGCAAGCUGAGGAAUUCACUUCUGUUUUUCCUCAUCUUCCUCAUAUGUUAAAAUGAAAAAAAAACACAACACUUAGUCUCUUACACUUGUAGAAUAGAAAAAGUGGUGAUUACAAAUGUGCACUGAUGAUCUCGUCUCUGAUACACUGCAGUUCUCUUCUCCUGGCCCUCCUUUCAUCACUUCUUCCUCUAAAGCAGCCAUGAGAAGUUGGGAGUAUUACAGAAGCUGCGCAGGUACAAUGCCAAGCAGCUUACAUGUAAGAUAAGCACUUGGCUCUCACCCAUCCUCCCACCCUAUUAAAAAAACAAUCAUAUAAGUAUUGCCAUUUGGGCCUCAAUGUAUUUGAGUUAUUGGCAUUGUUAGAUAUUUAAAUGAAACAGCAUUAGCACACUACGUCUUAGACAGCGAAACUGGCCAGUUCCACUGCAUUGUUCAGAGAGCAACCAGUAACACCAGCACCAAGUGAAAAACCAGAAAGGCUGACAGAAACCUGGAAGUGUUUGUUUUUCUGUCCUAAUCCCUCAGGACAUUCAGUCAUUACUAGAUCAGUGUUUUCCAUGAAGACUAAGUGGAAGGAACUGGGUGGAUGUGGAUGUGUCAGAACUAUGAAAAUGUGAAGUUCUCACAAUAGUUUCUAAAACAAAUUACCCGUGCUAGGUAGCCUCAAAAAGUUAAUCUCAAAUGAAUACUCAUCAGCUAAACAAAUUUGUAGGUUCACAUAUAAACAUGAUAGUAAACACAAAAAUAGAUCUAGUGUGUCCUCCUGACUAUGAAAUGGAGAAACGUGAAACAAAAAGCAGUUUUAAUUAAGAUUUAAAAUAAUGCUUCCUUGCCAAAAGGCUACCGGAAAAAAAAAAAAGAAAAAAAAAAGAUAUAGUCUAACUACUUUCUAGAAAAACCUAUCAGUUAUAAACCAUGAAUUAUAAGAAUCUUGAGAGAGUAUGCUUUUUUUUUUUUUUAAAAAAAAAAAAAAAACAUGGGAAAUCACCCUACAAUGGAAGAAAUUAAUUUGUGGCUGACCUGGCCACUGCAGUAUUUCUUCUUUUGUAAGUCUUCCCUUUAUUAUACAUGCACAAUUUCACUUCUCAUUUCGUUGCCUUUUUUCUCCUUUCCUCUAAACUGGAUUUUGAAUAUCAGUCACUGUGACAUAACCUUUACACUGUUGUCAUAAGCUGCUGCCCAUGUUCAAUGGAGUUUUCUCAUGCUGAUGCAGCCAAUGAUUAUCUACAGUUAUUAUCUAUUCUAUAGCAAACCCUGAUAUAAUUAAUGUUUUUCUGGCUUCCCUGGGGAAGGUGUUAAUGGUGACUGUGUUUCUUUAGAAGCCAUAGCAACUGUUUUAUUACAGACAGGGUCUCAAUAGUCAAUUCCUGUGAAUUCCCAAAUUCUCUAAUGUCUAGUAAGGGAUUAAACCACACUGUGAUCUAUGUAAAUUGGGGACAGGAAAAAGGGGUGUCUGGGUGAAAAGGAGGGCACAUCAUAGCAGAAGUUGCUUCCUCCAUUCAGUCAGAUAUUUUGAUAAAAUCAUAAGAUAUCUUUAACGUUUAUAUCAGUCAAAUUUAGUUGAUGUUUGCCAGAGGGUUCAAAAUGUGUCCAGAUAUCUGCUCCCAGCAGAGACCACUGAAGUCUCACUUCCCUGGGAAAUAACACUGAAAAGGUGGGAAAUAGUUGUAAUGAACGAUAUUUCUUUCUUCUUGCAGACCAUCCAUUACUAUCGGUCAGCCCUAUUAUUCUGUAUUUUACGACUAAAGAGGUAACAAGUUACACACAAAGCAACAGCACCGGAAGUACUUGUGAAGCAGUGCAAGGCCUAUCAGUGCUCCUGAGUGUGAUACUGAGUUACGUUCAGUCAAAUAUAGGCAGCUGCAAAGGACAGAACACCAAACAUCCAUAAAUCAAGAAUGCGAGUUCUCGUCCAAGGCAAACUGGAGGGGAAAAAAAUUUCCUAUGAACUGCAAAUGACACAGCAAGUUGGCUGACAGGCAGAACAGGUUCUGGUACGUCUCUGUUCCGGACCACUCUGCCCCACAUUACCCAUGCCCUUGCCUUCCUUUGUCCCUAAGCCAGGUAAGAUCACUUACCUGGAAAUACACCCAGCCUACCAGGGCUGCUAGAAUUUGAAUACAUGUAAAGAAGAAAAUGAAUCAGUCAGCACGGGUUGAGAAACGUGAGAAACAUUCAAACCACCCGCGCCACAAACACAUACCUCCCUUUCAGCUACCAAUGGGGAUCCCGAAACCAAGUUUCUCUUAAUUACAGCCCUAUGCCUAUUUUUAGCACGCUGCUCUGAGCAAGCCCACUCAGCGUGUUAGCAGAAGUCAGAAACCACCGGCAAAGAAGCAAGGUGAACCUCAAGCCUGCAGCCAGCUGGCUGCAAAGCAGGCAUGAAACGUGACGGGCUCUGCAAACACCUGAAAAGAUUGACAAAUCACCUUCCAAAAAGCAGAUUCUGGAUUCUGGGAUUUUCUUCAUCAGAUGACCCAUGAAGAACUCACUACCGAAAUCUUCUGCGCGAAUGAAAGCACCAUAUUUCAGGAAUCCUACCUCGUAAGGAGUGAACUCUACCCAUUCUGAAACGAAAAAGCACACGACAGACUGAUUACAGCAGCAGAGGCUCAAAAUAGUUGAAUAAAACCUGAUACUAGCCAAUUUAAGACAGACUGGUUUCUGAGCUAACAUCCUUUGAAACGGCCAUUUUAUUCACUCUCCUUUUCACAGUGUUGAAUAUGAAGAGUAAAUUGUCCCCCUGCAUCUAAAUAUGUCUGCAAAGUUUAGAUUUCUGACACUUCCUACAGAAAUGCUUAGCAGGUAAUUUCAUAUUAAUAUCGUCCAUCAUCUUGUUUUUGAUCCUGUAUACAGAUAGAUAUAAUAUGGCCUUCAGAAAUUUAACUAUUAAAAAUUUACUGUUAGGUGGAUUGGCCCUUUAGAGGAUUUGUGCAUUGAAUCAAUUUGUUUACCUAGUCCUAAAUGGAACCCUACUGAGAUUAAAAGUUAAAUGCAAUUCAGGAGUAUUAUUACCUCUAAA